AUUGAACGCUGGCGGUAGGCCUAACACAUGCAAGUCGAACGCGAAAGUCCUUCGGGAUGAGUAGAGUGGCGGACGGGUGAGUAACGCGUAGGAAUCUGUCCUGUAGUGGGGGAUAACGUUUCGAAAGGAACGCUAAUACCGCAUACGCCCUACGGGGAAAGCGGGGAGUCUUCGGACCUCGUGCUAUAGGAGGAGCCUGCGUCGGAUUAGCUAGUUGGUGAGGUAAAGGCUCACCAAGGCGACGAUCCGUAGCUGGUCUGAGAGGAUGAUCAGCCACACCGGAACUGAGACACGGUCCGGACUCCUACGGGAGGCAGCAGUGGGGAAUAUUGCGCAAUGGGCGAAAGCCUGA
rnacentral:rRNA from 1 species